UACGGAAGGCAGCAGUGGGGAAUAUUGCACAAUGGGCGCAAGCCUGAUGCAGCCAUGCCGCGUGUAUGAAGAAGGCCUUCGGGUUGUAAAGUACUUUCAGUCGUGAGGAAGGUGUUAAGGUUAAUAACCUUAGCAAUUGACGUUAGCGACAGAAGAAGCACCGGCUAACUCCGUGCCAGCAGCCGCGGUAAUACGGAGGGUGCGAGCGUUAAUCGGAAUUACUGGGCGUAAAGGGCACGCAGGCGGUUAAUUAAGUUGGAUGUGAAAUCCCCGGGCUUAACCUGGGAAUGGCAUUCAGGACUGGUUAGCUAGAGUCUUGUAGAGGGGGUAGAAUUCCAUGUGUAGCGGUGAAAUGCGUAGAGAUGUGGAGGAAUACCGGGUGGCGAAGGCGGCCCCUGGGACAAAGACUGACGCUCAUGUGCGAAAGCGUGGGGAGCAAACAGGGAUUAGAUACC
rnacentral:rRNA from 1 species